AUGCUUGCCGUGCCUUCUUCCGGGUGCACCGGAGGCUGGCAUGUGAGCAGGGGUGCUUCAGUGAUGCAGAAGAAAAAAGGCAAGUCUUAUCGGCAAGGGAAGGCUACGCCUUUCUUCCAGGUCUCCCUCUCUCCAUCUAAAUCUGUGUUUGGAGGAGGGGGCUACGCUACAUAUAAUGGUCGGUUGUGUGAGUGA
rnacentral:rRNA from 1 species